GGCUGGUCUGAUGGCAGUGGGUUAUUAGAACUUAUUAACAUUAGUGUCACUAAAGUGGGUAUACCACCCCCUCCACUGCUAAAUUUGACUGGCUUUUA
ensembl:misc_RNA Y_RNA Y RNA